rnacentral:rRNA from 1 species
UGUAGUCAUAUGCUUGUCUCAAAGAUUAAGCCAUGCAUGUCUAAGUAUAAGCAAUUAUACAGCGAAACUGCGAAUGGCUCAUUAUAUAAGUUAUCGUUUAUUUGAUAGUACCUUACUACUUGGAUAACCGUGGUAAUUCUAGAGCUAAUACAUGCUAAAAAUCCCGACUUCGGAAGGGAUGUAUUUAUUAGAUUAAAAACCAAUGCCCUCCGGGGCUCACUGGUGAUUCAUGAUAACUCCUCGAAUCGCAUGGCCUUGCGCCGGCGAUGGUUCAUUCAAAUUUCUUCCCUAUCAACUUUCGAUGUUUGGGUAUUGGCCAAACAUGGUUGCAACGGGUAACGGGGAAU